GUGAGUUACAGGGUGGUGGUAGAGUGUUGUGGGGGGUGGAGGGAGUGUUGUGUGUGUGAGUUAAAGGGUGGUGGUAGAGUGUUGUGGGGGGUGGAGGGAGUGGUGUGUGUGUGAGUUACAGGGUGGUGGUAGAGUGUUGUGGGGGGUGGAGGGAGCGGUGUGUGUGUGUGUGAGUUACAGGGUGGGAGUGGUGUGUGUGUGAGUUACAGGGUGGUGGUAGAGUGUUGUGGGGGGGUGGAGGGAGCGGUGUGUGUGUGUGAGUUACAGGGUGGUGGUAGAGUGUUGUGGGGGGUGGAGGGAGCGGUGUGUGUGUGUGAGUUACAGGGUGGUGGUAGAGUGUUGUGGGGGGUGGAGGGAGUGGUGUGUGUGUGAGUUACAGGGUGGUGGUAGAGUUUUGUGGGGGGUGGAGGGAGUGGUGUGUGUGUGAG
rnacentral:lncRNA from 1 species